rnacentral:lncRNA from 1 species
GUGUUUAGUAGAAAGACAAUCCUUUUUUUUUCCAGUCAAUUUUUUCUUUGAUCUAUAGAACUUGCUUCUUUUCUCUGAAGUUUUCACAAUACAGCAUGAUAGAAGGAGCACAGAGUGCCAGAGGCAGGGAAUUCUUAUGCUUCACUAGUGACUUAUAAGAAAACUUAAUAGAAGGUCUCUACUGCCCACUGGCCCUGCAGUACCUGAUUGAUGUGGUCCCAAACUAAAGUAGGCUAACCUUCAUUGAACCAAGCACUUCAGAGGCAUGGGAAGAAGUAUGGGGGAAGGAGUCCUUGUACUCUGGCAAUGAGGAAAACAAACAUUAACAGUGCAGGGACACAGUGAGAGUCACAGAUCCAUGGAUGGACGAUCCUUUUGAGGACAAUAGAGGGGGAAUUUGGAUAAGUUUCCUGAGUGAGAAACCUUCCAGAUGGCAAUCUGAAAGUUAGUUUUUCCUUCUCAAAACACAGAGCUUUCUCAAGGGAAAGAUAACACUCUCUUUCAUCAGAGCGAGUGAGCUUUCUUCAUGGUGGCAAUUUCCAGACUCCAGUGCAAGGAGGGGAAACUGAAGGAGAAUAAGGCGGUUACAUUCAGUUAGAGCCUGAGAGUAGAAUUUGGUUAGGCUGAAGCAGCUGGAAACUGUGGAAUGUAAUACCAGAGAGGAGACUGCCACACAAAGAACUCCAAAAAUUUUGAUUUUCAGCAAACCUUCAGAAGGCAAAAGGGAAAGUUUUCCCAUGGGCCAGCGUGGAUAUGUGUCUGUAAUAGUCUGCUCAGCCUUCUACAACAAGAUGUCGCAGACUGGUUGACUUAAACCAGGGAUCCUCAAACCCCAGCCAUGGAUCGGUACGGGUCAAUGGCCUGUUAGGAAUCAGGCCACGUAGCAAGAGCUCAUUCUAGGGGAAACCAGCUGCUAUAUUGAGAAAACAGUCCUAUGGAAAGGGCCAUGGAACAAAGAACUGACUUCUGCCAACAACCUCAUGAGUGAACCCAGAAGUGGCUCUUCUAGUCCUGGUCAAGUCUUAUAGACUGUGGCUCCAACUGAUAGUGUGACUGUAACUUCAUAAGAGAUGCUAAACCAGACCACCCAAUAAGACACUCCCAGAUUCCAUACUCUCAAAAGUUGUGUGAAAUAAUCACCCCUAGUUGUUUUAAACUGCUAGGUUUUGGGGUAGUGUGUUACAUAGCAAUAAAUAAUAAAUACAACAUCCAAGAAAUCAAUUUCUAUGAUAAAUAAA